rnacentral:rRNA from 1 species
GAGUUUGAUCCUGGCUCAGGAUGAACGCUGGCGGUCUGCUUAACACAUGCAAGUCGAACGGAGUACUUCGGUACUUAGUGGCGGACGGGUGAGUAACGCGUGAGGAUCUGCCCUCAGGAGGGGGACAACGACUGGAAACGGUCGCUAAUACCCCAUAUGCCGAGAGGUGAAAUGUUUUUUCGCCUGAGGAUGAGCUCGCGUCAGAUUAGCUAGUUGGUGGGGUAACGGCCUACCAAGGCGACGAUCUGUAGCUGGUCUGAGAGGAUGAUCAGCCACACUGGGACUGAGACACGGCCCAGACUCCUACGGGAGGCAGCAGUGGGGAAUUUUCCGCAAUGGGCGAAAGCCUGACGGAGCAAGACCGCGUGAGGGAUGACGGCCUAAUGGUUGUAAACCUCUUUUCUCUGGGAAGAUAAUGACGGUACCAGAGGAAUAAGCCUCGGCUAACUCCGUGCCAGCAGCCGCGGUAAUACGGAGGAGGCAAGCGUUAUCCGGAAUUAUUGGGCGUAAAGCGUCCGUAGGUGGUUAAUCAAGUCAGCUGUUAAAGAGCGGAGCUUAACUCCGUUAGAGCGGUUGAAACUGAUUGACUAGAGUUUGGUAGGGGUCGAGGGAAUUCCCAGUGUAGCGGUGAAAUGCGUAGAUAUUGGGAAGAACACCGGUGGCGAAAGCGCUCGACUGGGCCUGAACUGACACUGAGGGACGAAAGCUAGGGGAGCGAAAGGGAUUAGAUACCCCUGUAGUCCUAGCC